UCCCUGAUGGUCCAGUGGCUAAGACUCCAUGCCUGCAAUGCAGGGGGUCUGGGUUCAAUCCCUGGCCAGGGAA
rnacentral:tRNA from 1 species